rnacentral:rRNA from 1 species
UACGUAGGGUGCAGGCGUUACUCGGAAUUACUGGGCGUAAAGGGCGCGUAGGCGGUCUGCUAAGUUGGAUGUGAAAACUCUGGGCUUAACCCAGAGCCUGCAUUCAAUACUGACAGGCUAGAGUUCUGGAGGGGAUAGCGGAAUUCCUGGUGUAGCGGUGAAAUGCGUAGAUAUCAGGAGGAACACCGGUGGCGAAGGCGGCUAUCUGGACAGAAACUGACGCUGAGGCGCGAAAGCUAGGGGAGCAAACAGG